rnacentral:rRNA from 1 species
AUUGAACGCUAGCGGCAUGCCUUACACAUGCAAGUCGAACGGAGUGGCGAACGGGUGAGUAAUGGAUCGGAAGGUGCCCAGUAGCGGGGGAUAACUACGCGAAAGAGUAGCAAAUACCGCAUACUAUUGGAGCGGCCGAUAUCGGAUUAGCUAGUUGGUGGGGGAACGGCCUACCAGGGCGACGAUCCGUAGCGGGUUUGAUAGGACGACCAGCCACACGGGGACUUGUACACGGCCCAGACUCCUACGGGAGGCAGCAGUGGGGAAGUUUGGACAAUGGGGGAAACCCUGAUCCAGCCAUCCCGCGUGUGCGAUGAAGGCCUUCGGGUUGUAAAGCACUUUUAGCAGGAAAGCGGUACCUACAGAGUAAGCACCGGCUAACUACGUGCCAGCCGCCGCGGUAAUUC